UGUGAAACACCCGUUCUCGUUCAAUCCCCAAAGUUAAGCAACGUUGAGGCUGGUCAGUAACUAGAUAGGUGACCGCUCUGGAAUACCAGGUGCUGUA